rnacentral:lncRNA from 1 species
UAAAACCUUCAUUUAAAAUGAAAUUAUGACUAUUUGAAUAUAAUAAAAAUAUUCAAUAAAAUAUUCUAUUUUCUUAUAAAACAAUAUUUAUAGAGUUAUCGGUAAAUAAUUUUUGUAGCGUAAAAGCUAAAUAAAUUCAUACAUACUGUAAUACAGAUAACCAAAGUAUAAAAUUUAAUUUAUAGUGACACAUGGGCCCACGAACGACCAAAAGUAUCAAAAGCGGUAAACCUACAAUUUUUGAGGAUGCAAGUCCAACUGUAGCCCUCAACAAAGUGAGCUAUCUACCUACUAUCCUGAGCCUGAAAUGGGUGAAAAUGAGGGUGGUGAGAUUAUAUAAUCCCAGUGAGUAAACAAAUAGCAUCUAAAAUAUCUAAAGCUGAGUAAAUGGAGAUAGAUUAAAAUAGAUCAUCAUACUGUAAUUCAUCACCUUUCAACUCAUUUCAACCAAAUAAAAUCAAUUCAUAUAAAUCGAGUAAUCAACAUGGCUAAUGAAUAUCUUAAAACUUUGGCUCGUGCCAAAAUCAUUCUCAUACUCAGUUAUCAGGGAUACCUUGGCCUGAAGCUAUCCCAACUGAGUCCGCCAAGGUUGUUAAAAAGUCAUGUAUGCAUAAAUCAUGUUUUUAUUUUGAAAACAUAGCCGUUCCUUGGCGUUGGCUGAGUUCACCCUCAUGUGGUGGUUCGACGUGAAGUGAACUCUAAAGUUGUACCUCAGGAGUUACCCUACAUGCCUCUCCGACCGAGGUAAGAAUAUAACAGGGUUACCGUGCCCUUCUAAUAGGUUGGUCCAUGGAACCCGCCCACUGCAGCAACCUAAACCCACCAAUUCAAUAAAAUCUCAACCGCAUGACAUGGCGAUUAUAUCACAAUCCAGCCUCUCAAGGCUAAAUACACAGUUUAUAUAUUUCAACACAAAUACCAAUUCAGCCAUUCAUGCAAAUAUUGUCAUAAGCCAUUCGAUUCAAACUAUGAAUUUACAACACAUGAAAACAGUCUCCAAUUACUCUAUUUUCAAACCAUCAUUUCAUUUCAAGACAAUGUUAUAAAAUCAUUUCAUUAAAUCACAUUUUAAUUGCAAAACAUAAAGAUUUACCAUUUAACUCAUUUUUCAUAAAAUCACAAAAUCAGAUAAAAACCACUUUAGAUAAUUAAGAUGAUAGUAAGGUUACUCACUGUAUCAGGAGUUUGAAUUUUGGAGUACUCCGACUAUUGAUCCUCAGGUGAAAUUUUUUUACCCUUUUUUUGGAGGAUUCACCACCUAGACAUAAUGCACAAUAAGCCAUUUACUACAUUUGUGCUAAACCAUUGUAAAACCAAUUCAGGCUUUAUACUAAUGCAUGAAAUGGGAUGUGAAAUACUCGGGUAACUAUCUAAAUACGGUGUUCAAUAUAAAUUCAAUUGUGUACCUAAAUAAAAUGGUAUUGGCCUAAUUCGAUCUAUCACUCAAUUAAUUAGCUAAUAUGUCCAAUCAAACUUCAAAUAAUUCCAUUUCUCUCCCAAUACUUCAAAUCACCAAACACAAGUCAAAUAACAUAAAAUUUAGCAAAACCAUCCUCACAUUUCUUCUUGAGAAUUUCGGCCAUGGUGAGUGCAUCAACACUAUGAUUUUUCCUACUUGAUUUUCUCACCAUAAUUCAUCAUUUCCUAACCAAUUCACUUGAAAUAAAAUCAAAUCCACCAUCCACACUCGACAUGGAAGAUUCGGUCAAUGAUGGGUUAUGGAAGAACAUGAAUUUUUCUUGUUUGUUUUUCAUGCUACACAUCACUAACUAACUAAAAACACUAAAAUACAUUGAAAUCUAACCAAAUUGAAGUUCAAAACUCCUCCCCCCAUGUCCGGCCAGCAAGGGUAUCCUCAUGCAAACUUGAUUCUCAACCAAGGAAAAUGAAAAAGAAUGCAUAGGAAAGGUAAAUCACAAGCUAGCACUGAAAAAUCUUACCUUUUGUCACUUGAUUCUUUGAAAUUUUGUGAAUUUCUCUUGAAUUUCUUAGCUAGGAUUUUGUUCUUUUUCUUUUCUUCCCUUUUCUUCCUUUGG